rnacentral:lncRNA from 1 species
CAGGAAAUCAACAUUCAAGGGGAGACCCAAUGAAGAAGAUAGUGCCAGAACUUAAUGGAGGCAGCCCAAGAGGAACGUGUACCUGGGGAAGUCAAGAGCUAUUUCUUGGACAUUUGUGCCUCUAUUCCAAACUCUUCUCUCAGAGUAGAUGACAACUCAGGAAGGAGCCAGAGAUCUUCCUCAGUUGACUUGUUCAGAAAUAUGAUUUGGGAUUCAGUCUGGCCCGAAGCCAUGCUUCCAGCCUCAUCUCCACUGUGCACUUUCCAUGGCGUUCUGUCUUGGUCCACUUGGCUUGUGUAGCUGCCUGGCCUGGGUUGUCCUCCCCACCCUUGUCUGCUUGGUGGCACUUGGCCCUGUUCUAAUUGCUUCUGCUCGGGCAGCUUCUCUCCUCCCUCCUCUGUGCUCUGAGCACACUGGACAGAUUCCUGUUAGAGCUGUCACUGUCUUCCUGCUGUCUGCCCACUGACCUUGGAGCUCCAGGAGGACAGGAGCCUUAUCUUACCCCAUGACAUGGCCUAUGCCCAGCCUGGUGCCAACGUGGUCUGGAGGUAUCUGUAGGCUGAAUGAAAUUCUUCCCUCUGGGAUGCCCUUUAAAGUUGUUUUCUUUCUGGAACCUGGGGCAGUGACUGGAAUGGUUGGAAUGUGGCCUUGGUUUGCCAUUGGGUGUUUUGUUCCUCCGAGCAUUGGCUGGACUCUCUGGUGAUUUCUGGUCUUGAAGGACUUCCUGUUUUAAAUGUCUGUGGGGUUGUGGUUCCCGAGCUGCUGCACUGUCUCCCAUAACCUUUCUCUCUAUCCUGGCCUGGUCUCUCUUCCACACCAGAACUUUCCUCUAGAUCAAUGGUCCAGGACCAUCAGAACCAGUGAACCACACUCCUGACCAUUCUCCAAAUAGUCAUUUGGCCAAAUACGAGGAGAACCAUGGAGAGGAGGGGAGGCUGGACCGGGCUUCACCUCACACGGUGCAGGAAUGGCCACAAAGUCCUGAUGAAGAGCAGCCCCUGCGGGACAUCCCUGACAAACAACCCUACAGCUUCUGCUUGAGUCUCCCCAGCAUGGGGAACUCACCACCUUCCAAGGCACCUCUCUUGUAAAUGAAGAAAUUAAAACUGCAAGUUGAAACUGAGUCACUGAUGGCGCCAGAUGUUUCUGGAGCAAAACUGGGAAAGAGGGUGAGCAUUGGAAAGACACCUCCUCCUGUUAUCUUCGAGAAGCCAUUUACUGGGAAAACAAAAACUGAGCUCCAUGAUGCAUAAAUUCCAAAAUGCAGAGGCCAAUUUCUUUCCCUUUGACCACAUGUCGGAAAGGCUCGGGGUUCAGUAACUGGAGGAGGCAGUGUUUAAUCCCAAUUUUACCAGUGAAGAAACUGAGGCUCAGAAAAACAAAGUGACUCCAAAUUCCUUGAGCACCUGGCCAGGGUCAGUCCCCACGGUGGCUGAGAUGGUUGACCAAUGGCCUCUGGGGAGAAGGCUAUGGGCACAGACACUGGUCCCUGGCUUGUUGGGAGGGAACAAGGAUGUCCAUCUGUCCUCCCUCAACACUGCCUCCUGGGGGACAAGGAAGAUGCCCAGAGUGAGUGGGCAGGGUGGGCGAUGGACUCAUACCCUGCCUUGGUGUCUCUGUGGCUCCUGGAAGAUCCUUGCAAGCAGCGGUGAGCACUGUGACUUGAGCCCUGCGGUGGUGGCUUGCCAUGUGGCCAGUCAAGGUGGACGAUGGACUCAUAUGCUGCCUGGGUGUCUCUGUGACUCUUGGGAGAUCCUUGCUGGCAGCGGUGAGCACUGUGACUUCAGCCCUGCAGUGGUAGCUGGUCACAUGGCCAGUCAAGGCUCAGUCUUCUUAGUAAUCAAAGGACUGAAAGUGUCCAGUAGCUUUGGAUGAUGGUUGAGGACUCGUUAAUAAAGACCACUGCCCUAUGGGAAUGCGUUAUACUCUCUGGAAUGAGCCGUGCAGGUGGGCUCAGAGAACAUACCAUUUGCACACUCAUAACAAUGUAAAAGUAUGAAAGUAAAAGUCAUAUGAAAUCCUCCUGUGCAGAGCUAGUUAAUGUUGGGUGACUGUCACUCCAGGCAUCUGUCUUUGCACUUGCAAGAGGGAUAACAUGUAGGUAAAUAGGAAAACACUGUACAGUAUAUGCUAUCCUUUACUUACUUUAGUCAAUGGUAUAUCAACAAACAUAAAUCUAUAUCAUUUUAACUGCAUCUGAUUCCAUUGUAUGAAUGUACCUUACUUUAUUUAAUCAGUAGGCUUCUGAUUGCAAUUUGCAUUGGGUUUUGCAUUUCAGCCAUCUUUCGUGAUCCUUAAA